rnacentral:lncRNA from 1 species
AUGGGGAGCACAGUGAUGGUGUCGGGAGGGAAGGCACCGGGGGUCUCAGAAAGGAUCUCCACGUGUCGACUGGUGCCUCCUGAAGGCAUCCUGUUUCCAGCCCCGUUCCGCGGUGCACUCAGUCCCUCGGUUCAGACAGGCCCGCCUUCCAGCUCUUCUGACCUUCAGAUCAACGCACGAGCCCAGGGCUCCUCUGACCUGACGGUGUGGGGUCUGUGCCUGCUUCUGUGCUCCCAAAUCUCCCAGGGAGAGACGUAUCCUAAACCCCACUCCACGACAACGUGGCAGCCUCUGACCCCUCCCUGCACCGUCAUUCUCCCUUCGAAAACUCCUGAGGACGCAGCCCGGCUGCCGUUCAGUGGCUGUCUGCUGAAUGCAUCUUGGGAAGAGGUGAAAAUUGUCCUUUCUGAUUAUAGAAUGGAGAUUCGAUGCGUUCAAGAAACGAGGACACCCUGGAGGGCAUCUGAGCCUGGACUCUGUGACACCUGUUACCAGCGUGGUCUCAGGCCUUCUGCUGGGCAGAAUGAAUGUCAGCUGCAGGUGGGGUCCUCGCGGAGGCCAAGGACAGAAGGAGGAGACACAGGUGUCGGGGACGCGGGCCCUGGGCUUUACGACUCGACUCUUGGGCCUUCCUUGAGAACUGAGCUCUGGCCUUUGGCUCCAAUCACCUUGGAGAGGAGACCUGGCCCGGGGGGACCGGUGGCCUCUUUCGGGUUGGCAUCCAUGCAAGUACGAGAAGUUGCCCUUGGAGAGGGGGGGACUCACACAGUCGUCCUGUGUCCCCGGCUUGACAUUCUCUGUCCAAACUCCAUCUCAGCGCUCCCGCCAAGCCUCUGCCUCCCCCGGGCGUCCCUGGCUGGGCCCACGGAGGAUUCUCUCCCUUUAGGACUAAACUGACUUGAGGCGCUGAACCGACCGGAUCCUCUGGGUGGCGGUUCCUUCCCUACGCAUCCUAGCAAGGGAGCAUGAGGACGUGAGGGCCCGGGGCUUACCGUGCCGCUUUGGUGCCGGUUCAGGCUCCCGGGUCAUUCCUGUGCCCGUCCCCUCUCUGCGGUCCCCUAUGCUUCCCGUGCCCCUGCAUGGGCUGGGACUGGAGUCACUGUCCUUCUGGCUCCCUGUGCUACAACAGAUGGCCUGGGCGCCCCUCCACGGUCGGUCAGCCAGCCAGAGAGCGGCCACCGGUACCUGCUGAUAACUUGUCUGUUCCUUCCCUGCCUUCCGGUCCAAGUUGGAGGACAUAGCCAAGCCUCGAGGGACGCGUUCUGCCACGUGGUACUGACCACGUGGGCUUAAUGAAGACAGGUGAGGGUCAGGAGUGAUUGGCACAGAGCGGAUACUCGGCACUAAGUAACUGUCACCACCGUCACCACCACCACCAUCGUUCAUUAUAACUACUUGUCUAUCACCCCUCCAUCUCGCGCGGUCCGGGCCCGGUGUAGACGAUCCCGCCAUCAUAUGGACUCAAUCACUGUGGCCGACAAGUGCGUCUAGAAUCCAAGGGCUCCCCCUCCAGAGCGGAGGAAGCAUGCUUCCUACCUGGAAAGAGAGAAGACAAGCUGUGUCGUCCGGUGGGGGGAAGCCCUGAUUUCCGAGGGUCGC